rnacentral:rRNA from 1 species
AGAGUCUGAUCCUGGCUCAGAGCGAACGUUGGCGGGAUGUUUUAAGCAUGCAAGUCGAGCGGCAGCAUGGGUGCUUGCACCUGAUGGCGAGCGGCGAACUGGUGAGUAACGCGUAGAUUAUCUACCUCUUAGACUGGGAUAGCCAUUGGAAACAGUGAUUAAUACCGGAUAUUGCCGCAAGGUGAAAGGCGCGUUUGCGCCACUGAGAGAUGAGUCUGCGUCCUAUUAGCUUGAUGGUGGGGUAAUGGCCUACCAUGGCGACGAUAGGUAGCCGGCCUGAGAGGGUGAACGGCCACAUUGGGACUGAGAUACGGCCCAGACUCCUACGGGAGGCAGCAGCUAAGAAUAUUCUGCAAUGGGCGAAAGCCUGACAGAGCAAUCCCGCGUGAGUGAUGAAGGCCUUCGGGUUGUAAAGCUCUUUCAGCAGGGAAGAACACCCACAGUAGGAAAUGAUUGUGGGCUGACGGUACCUGCAGAAGAAGCACCGACUAAUUACGUGCCAGCAGUCGCGGUAAUACGUAAGGUGCUAACGUUGCUCGGAAUUACUGGGCGUAAAGGGUGCGCAGGCGGCUAUGUAAGUUAGAGGUGAAAACUUGAGGCUUAACCUCAAGCCUGCCUUUAAAACUGCAUGGCUAGAGUUGUAAUAGAGGCAGCAGGAAUUCCUAGUGUAGGAGUGAAAUCUGUAGAUAUUAGGAGGAACACCAAUGGCGUAGGCAAGCUGCUGGGUAACAACUGACGCUACUGCACGAAAGCCAGGGGAGCGAAUGGGAUUAGAGACCCCAGUAGUCCUGGCCGUAAACGAUGUACACUAGUUUUAUGGUCUUUUAUUAGACUAUGGAACAAAGCUAACGCGUUAAGUGUACCGCCUGGGGAGUAUGCACGCAAGUGUGAAACUCAAAGGAAUUGACGGGGGCUCGCACAAGCGGUGGAGCAUGUGGUUCAAUUCGAUGAUAAGCGAAAAACCUUACCUGGGCUUGAACGUGUAGUGACAACCGGUGAAAGCCGGUCUCUCUUCGGAGCACUAUGCGAGGUGCUGCAUGGCUGUCGUCAGCUCGUGUUGUGAAAUGUUGGGUUAAGUCCCGCAACGAGCGCAACCCUUGUCCUAUGUUGCUAAGUACCCUUCGGGGUACAGGACUCUUAGGAGACUGCCGAGGUUAACUCGGAGGAAGGCGGGGAUGACGUCAAGUCCUCAUGGCCCUUAUGUCCAGGGCUACACACGUGCUACAAUGGGGCGUACAAAGGGAAGCUAGAUCGCGAGGUUAAGCAAAUCCUAAAAAAACGCCUCCCAGUUCGGAUCGCAGUCUGAAACUCGACUGCGUGAAGUUGGAAUCGCUAGUAAUCGCAGAUCAGCAUGCUGUGGUGAAUGCGUUCUCGAGCCUUGUACACACCGCCCGUCACACCACCCGAGUUGAAUUUACCUGAAGUCGUUGUACCAACCG